rnacentral:lncRNA from 1 species
AUAUGUUUUACAAUAUUUGUAUGUCACGGACCAAUCAGAUGUGAGGUUAAAGGUUAUGGGGUUAGGAGGGAGUAGAGAAGAUGGAAGAGAGUGGACGGUUAGUCCAAUGACAUUAGUUGACAGGAGAUAAUUCACUGUUAUUAGCUCCAUCUCUAGGCUAUUAGAGUGGAGGGUCACUGAUAUAAGUUGUCUGAUAGAUAACUUAGUAGUGAAUAACAGUCUGUAUCUACUAGUUUAGUGAGUAGAAAAUCGAGUCUAGUAGUACAGGCAAGCGCGGGAGCCAUUUUAGCUAGCUGACCUGCAUGAGCCUGCCUAGGCACAAUUGCAUGUUAAACAGUAGUUCACUGUGUAAAUGCUUGGACUUUGCCAAACUGAUUCGAUUGGACACCGGAGAGUUCGCUGUUCACUUGGAUAAGGUAGACAGAAGAAUUAGCUCGACAGAACAGCCAAGAGCUCACCAGUGUGUGCCAGGAGCAACGUGGCUGCUCGCUUCUACUAUGAUACCAACAACUCGAUGGAACUCCGCCACCAUUCCACUGCAACAGGGCCCCAUCCAAAUGCUGUCAGUCUCACAGGCGGUUUAUGAAUGGAGAUUGGCGCAUCCAUUCAUGCCACGUGGAGAGAUGAAGUGGAAAUAGAGAAGUUUCAUUGAAAGGCUUUUUGCUUUCAGCCGGAUGGUGUUUUAAGUAGAGGGCAAAUUAGCCGUCAAUGUGGCACGUAUAGCGGCACACACAGACACACACACACACACACACACAGUAAUAUGUUUGUGUGCCUUCAUGGAAGUGGGGAAAUGGGUGGACUGCAUGGAGCUGCCAAGAGACACUUCACAAAUACGAGGAAAAAUCCAGCGUAUUCAGGAUUUUUUUUUACACGCUGUGGGGAAUAAUCAGUGUUCGCACAGAGAGCUUAAAGCGCAAAUGUAUACUUCCCACAGCAGCAUUAUCAUCACUAUGGCCAUCAUCAUCAUCAUUUUUAUGGAUGACAACCUCUACAACUACGCAUCUCUAACCCUUGAUUACAUGCCACUUGCAUUCCAGA